CAUAAAAUCACCAAUUAUUAAGUUGCACUUAAUAAUCACCAUUAUUAAGAGUGCAACUUAAUAAUUGGUGAUUUUAUG
rnacentral:miRNA from 1 species